CCGCUUGACUGUUAAUACACCCACCCCGCGUACACAGUCCUGUUGCUUCCGCCGGGCGCGGAUAACCGCCACACCCGGCGGGAGGGUAAAAUGAACCCCCAAGUUUACUUCAGAAUCUGUCUGAACACAAAAAGGAAACGAAUGAAAUGUUAAAACUUUCAGCAACGGAUCUCUUGGUUCUCGCAUCGAUGAAGAACGCAGCGAAAUGCGAUAAGUAGUGUGAAUUGCAGAAUUCAGUGAAUCAUCGAAUCUUUGAACGCACAUUGCGCCUUCUGGUAUUCCGGGAGGCAUGCCUGUUCGAGAGUCAUUGACAACCGUCUCGAAUCCCCCCUUUCCAGCCCUCCUCUUGGGGUUCUGUUUUGGGAGGAAUCGGUCCUGGUGGACGAGGAAUGAUGAGUUGGCUUGCAGAUCCCUCCUGUCCCACCAAUGCGCCGUGCGGUCUUGGUGGGCAAACAGUUUAUGGGGUUCGGCUCGUCAAAUCCCCUCCCCUCCGAAAUUCAUAGGUGGUUCGUGUUUGACCGACCUGUUGCAUGGGUGUUGUAAAGGAGGCUCUCUCACCAUUUUGUAGGAGUCCACUUUUCGCUUCUCAACAGUAAUGGUUUAUAA
rnacentral:rRNA from 1 species